rnacentral:rRNA from 1 species
CCUACGGGAGGCAGCAGUGAGGAAUAUUGGUCAAUGGGCGGAAGCCUGAACCAGCCAAGUAGCGUGAGGGAUGAAGGUACAGAGUAUCGUAAACCUCUUUUGUCAGGGAACAAAGGCGGGGACGUGUCCCCGGAUGAGUGUACCUGAAGAAAAAGCAUCGGCUAACUCCGUGCCAGCAGCCGCGGUAAUACGGAGGAUGCGAGCGUUAUCCGGAUUUAUUGGGUUUAAAGGGUGCGCAGGCGGUCUGUUAAGUCAGCGGUCAAAGCCCGGGGCUCAACCCCGGCCCGCCGUUGAAACUGGCAGUCUCGAGUUGGAGAGAAGUAUGCGGAAUGCGCGGUGUAGCGGUGAAAUGCAUAGAUAUCGCGCAGAACUCCGAUUGCGAAGGCAGCAUGCCGGCUCCACACUGACGCUGAGGCACGAAAGCGUGGGUAUCGAACAGGAUUAGAUACCCUGGUAGUC